rnacentral:rRNA from 1 species
CAGUCGCCGCGGUAAUACGGAGGGGGCUAGCGUUGUUCGGAAUUACUGGGCGUAAAGCGCACGUAGGCGGAUAUUUAAGUCAGGGGUGAAAUCCCGCAGCUCAACUGCGGAACUGCCUUUGAUACUGGGUAUCUUGAGUAUGGAAGAGGUUAGUGGAAUUGCGAGUGUAGAGGUGAAAUUCGUAGAUAUUCGCAGGAACACCAGUGGCGAAGGCGACCACCUGGACUGAUACUGACACUGAGGUGCGAAAGCGUGGGGAGCAAACAGGAUUAGAUACCCCAGUAGUCCCUGUCUCUUAUAC